CCCUCGGUGCAUAAUGUUUGUUACGUACCUCGUCCUUGAACUACAUUCUCAAGGCAGAAUCUAACCAGAAAUGAUGUCUCUCCCUUGGUGGUGGUUGCCUUAACUCCCUCCUUGGCUCCCAUUCGGUGUGCGAGGAGCGGAAGUCAGUGCUCAGCAAGGUGUGCUCGAGGAGGUUUCUGGUGUUCCAUGUUUAAUGACGUGCCGCUGUCGGUCUGCCUGACACACUAACCUUUCUCCUAAUACCAACAUAGGAGCAGAAUCUGAAACAGUUUUCCUGAGUGAGUCACCGGUAACGAACUAAAUAAACCUCUGACGAAGACCAACAAUCAGGAACAAAUUGUCGCUGCAAUGGGGCAAGAAUGGCUCGUCCCUACCGCUGGUCAUACUGAGGGGAAGAAAAUCCACCACCACCACCACCACCACCACCUUUUGCCGCAAACUGGCCCGUAUUCUGAAAAGCUUUGCUCUCUGACUAUUUUCAGAGGCCAUAUAUAUGAUUAGCUGGGUUUUCAAGGAUGUUUCUCCUGUUAAUAGUGUAGAUUUUUUGUUAAUCUGCCAGUGGAAUCGCAUAAACACCCUUAGAAAUCCGUGUGACUUCAACUAGAGCCUUUUGGAAGUAGUGAAGAUGUGGGCAGAAAUGUUUCAGAAAAUGGUCCACACAGUGAAAAGGGAGUGGCCGGAGGAGUGGGGUUCUGUCAAAACACUCAAGGUGCAAGACACUUUUACACUUUUCUAGUCGAACCAUGAUAAUCACCAAGGCCAGAGUGAAUUUUCGUCAGCUUAGUUGUUCCACCGCUAUGAUCCUUUAAACAUGACGGAGAUGAUAAUGUCAGUGGUGCUUAGACUAGUGAAUAAAUCAACUUAUCCUUUUUUCUUGUCAGUCGAUAAAAAAAAAAGAAAAAAGAUGCUCUGGAUGAUAGUUCGUGUGUGUGUGUGUGUGUGUGUGUGUGUGUGUGUGUGUGUGUGUGUGUGUGUGUGUGUGUGUGUGUGUGUGUGUGUGUGUGUGUGUGUAUGCUCACGUAAUUUACUCUGUAGAGUUUUUUCUUGCUUUGAGCUUGUUUUGUAAGUAUAGAACAUGUAACAUUUUUAAAAACUUUAAAUUAUAAUUUUCUUCUAUAACAAUAUGAAUGAAAGACGCAUAUAUUUAAGAACAUAAAAGCAAUGAAAGUUUAUCAGGUAUAAAUUAGGAAAAUAAACGUGAAAAUAGCAUGCUUUAUAAUAUCAGAAACUGUCCUGAAUAUGUCAAUACUGGUAAGCUGCGAUGAACAUAAAAGAUAAUCUUGAUGUAUGAUCGGUGCGACUAGGAAAUACCAAAGAAAGAUAAGAAACGUGUCAUUUCCUCAUGUUCGAAAACCUACGUCACUCGAGAGACACUGAAAUACUGGUAGAAGGUUCCAGACCUGAACAGAGGGCGGCGUCUCUGUAUCACAUGGAAGACUGUCAACUCCACUUAGGUGACACCACGUACUGGCUUCACCCAUUCCCUUUAGUUUCUUCAGCUCUCAUGUGUCCUCCGUGCGAUAAUUUUUAAUACGCUGUGGGAAUUCUAACCCGCUCUCAAUGACAACCUGGGUGGCGGUGCUCAAUGCGGCACUGGAACAAGACACAGUUAACAAAGGGCAGGGAGGCCUGCAGCAAGACAUUGGAAGUGCAUUUCCUGCCCCAUUGUUUGCGGAUCCCGUUGGUGGGGAGUGGAAGACAGGACGUGUAGGCUUGGGCGUCACUAUGUUGAUGACUGCGAAAAUUCUCAGCUCCGAUUAUGACGAAUAUAUGUUAAUGUAGAUUUUUCAAAUGAUACACAUAUGCUUCGUUAAAUUUAUGGGCCAGUUGUGGACUAUAGUAUCUACUGGACUAGGACUGAUAUGUAUUGCACACACACACACACACACACACACACAGUGAAGCUCUAGUCUGCAUAGUGUUCUGUGUUCACCGGUCAUCCUCCACCUGUGUCGUUGCCUAAGCCUUCAUCUCUGUGUGUUAAUUUUUCAGCUGUCUGCCUUUCAUCCUCCAAAUAGCCACUUUCUCGGUCGGAUGAUUUUUCCACCUGUCUACCAUCCAGCUACCACUUGUCCACCUGCCCGGCUGAUGGUGAAUAAAAUUAUCCAACAUUAUCAUGAUGAAUAUUGACGGUAACGGUUGGUGAAAUGAUAGUCAUGGUGCAGUGAAGUAACGAGAAGCACUUCCAGUAUGCAAGAAAUAAAAUACACUAAAUACACUAAAAACACACUGGAAUAUCGGCUCUACUUAGGUUACGUCGACGAGAACCUUAAAAAUACAGCAAAUACACUUAAAUUAGACUUAAAUUAGAUUACAUAAACGAGAAUCUUGAAAAUACAGUGAAUAUACUACAAAUACACUUAAUACAGAUUCUACUUAGGUUACUUCCACGAAAAACCUUUAUUUUUCAUCACAACAUCAGUCCAGCAUAAGAUUCCGUUGAGGCACACUGAUGACACUUCGCCGAAAGCUCAGUCACGCAACACCCAGGGAGGAGAGCUCGCUUGACUGCCCCUUCUGCUGUGUUCGGCGAGCAUGAGCAUGAGCCCGGUAGUGUGCGUGAACGAGUGCGAGAACGUGCGUGGCCUCAAGGGGAGCGCGAGAGGCCUGGAGAGGGAGUAUGAGGAGCCUCUUGGGGGAUGUGAGGCACUUAAGAGUCGACGUGAAAGUGGGAGUAAUGUGGCGUUUGGAGUGCUCGCUAGGGAUUAGUGUGGCGAGGGUCCGCGUGCAGCCGGCGGGAAAAUGACGAUAUUUGGCGAGGGUGUUGGGUGCUGCGGGAUUCCUGCUUCAGUUUCCCCGUCCCUGUUCUUCUGUAUUUUGGUCACCUUUUUUUUUUUUUUUUCUUUCUCCAAAUGUAAACUUUUCUUUGAAGUUUUGUGAUUUUUCUUGUCUCUUCU